GUACACUGUGCAUCAGUUUCCAGCAGCUGAAACUGAGUCUUAAUAAUGAAAUAAUGAGUCUUCCUUUUUUUUCUCUUACAGCAGAAAGACCUCAGCUGGAGCCUGGACUGCAACACGGAGGGUGCUCUCAGAAACAAAAGAAGGGAGUUAUUCUUCACUGAGUGAGGGCUACAACAGCACAGACUCUGAGCUGAAUGAUCCAACGCAUCCCAGAGGAGGAAGGAGUUAUCACCAGGCCAGUUCAGAAUUGCGCAGUGUUCCUGAAUUGUGGUGGUUAUUGACACUCGGAGUGAUAGAGUGCUGCUUUCAGUCUUUGCUCAGAUGUUGUUUCCCUUGCGUGCAGGCUGUUCCCCAGUGCAGGCUGUAUUGCAGCUGCUCGGAGGAGACGUCACCUUGCCAGGACCCGAGCUGAUUAUAUGCUUCCUUGGAUUGCUCAAAUGAUCGUCAGCUUUCUCGGAG
ensembl:lncRNA